AGUGAACUAGGUUAAUUGAGACUGUCUGUUUUCAAAAUAGGAGGUGGCUGGUGGGUCGUUUGCUG
rnacentral:tRNA from 1 species